GGGGAUUCUGCCAACUUCCGACCUUCGACGACAUCCUUCCGAACCUCUCUGGCGGUCGAGCCUCCGCAACACUCCCAAGUUUCGCCGACGGAUAAGCCCCCACCAGCGUCGACCAGAUUCUUCACGAUGGACGGACUCCACCCAAGUUUUCACAAUGAUCGACCACCAUCUAGACUGUAUCCGAACUCCUAUGGGAGCCAGGCUCCGUCCCCGAC
rnacentral:lncRNA from 1 species